AGAGUUUGAUCAUGGCUCAGGAUGAACGCUAGCUACAGGCUUAACACAUGCAAGUCGCGGGGCAGCAUGUUACUGGCUUGCCAGUAAUGAUGGCGACCGGCGCACGGGUGAGUAUCGCGUAUCCAACCUUCCCAUAUCCACGGGAUAGCCUGCCGAAAGGCAGAUUAAUACCGUAUGUUGUCGCACGCUGGCAUCAAAAUGCGACGAAAGGCUUAGCGGAUAUGGAUGGGGAUGCGUCCGAUUAGCUUGACGGCGGGGUAACGGCCCACCGUGGCGACGAUCGGUAGGGGUUCUGAGAGGAAGGUCCCCCACAUUGGAACUGAGACACGGUCCAAACUCCUACGGGAGGCAGCAGUGAGGAAUAUUGGUCAAUGGGCGCAAGCCUGAACCAGCCAAGUAGCGUGCAGGAUGACGGCCCUAUGGGUUGUAAACUGCUUUUAUGCGGGGAUAAAGUAUGGGACGUGUCCCAUUUUGCAGGUACCGCAUGAAUAAGGACCGGCUAAUUCCGUGCCAGCAGCCGCGGUAAUACGGAAGGUCCGGGCGUUAUCCGGAUUCAUUGGGUUUAAAGGGAGCGUAGGCCGCCCCUUAAGCGUGUUGUGAAAUGCCGCGGCUCAACCGUGGCACUGCAGCGCGAACUGGGGGGCUUGAGUGUGCGCGACGCAGGCGGAAUUCGUGGUGUAGCGGUGAAAUGCUUAGAUAUCACGAGGAACCCCGAUUGCGAAGGCAGCUUGCGGGAGCACUACUGACGCUGAAGCUCGAAGGCGCGGGUAUCGAACAGGAUUAGAUACCCUGGUAGUCCGCGCGGUAAACGAUGGAUGCCCGCUGUGUGCCAUUAUGGUAUGCGGCCAAGCGAAAGCGUUAAGCA
rnacentral:rRNA from 1 species